AUCUAUCUGGAGAUCACUCCCUUUGGAGCUCUUCUGUGAGCCCAGGAUAUGGACAUCCUUAGCUCGUGUUCCUCGGUGGGAAGGAUGACAGUCACACGGGGCAUGGGGAGAAGUGUUAUGUGAGGCAUUUCUAGUGGAGACAGAAAGAAAUAGACACAAAAACGUGUGGCUGUGAAAGCGAUUCUGGCUGCGUUGCAUGCUGGCACUAAAGUGGAAACCAGCGUGGGCACCAUCUUCAGGCCCUGGAUGAAAGCUGAGCUGCUAAACACCAGCUCUGCAGCAUCACCCAAGGGUGCUCCUUUCUGCACACAGAACUCCUCAGCUGCUUUCACUCUGAACCUUGCUUAUGUUUGCCUUCUCUGCCUGCCCAAUUCUUCUGACAAGAACAACUGCAGUUCCCUCUACGGAGAAGGAUGGAACGCUGGUUUUUGCUCAGGUUUGAAUGAUAACCAGCAGCUAAUCAUCUCUGUUUGUGCCUACAUCCUUCUACCACAACCUCCAGCUACAUUAAAACAGAAUGUGGGGUGAUAGAGAGAGUCACAAGUGAUGCAAGUAGCUCAUGGUAAGCUAAGGGCAUAUUUGAGAGAUACUGAGGGAUGAACUGAAGCAAUUUGUUCUGGAGGUCCAGAGAUGGAUUUUUUUGUUAGAGGUGACUUUGGGAUCAUAGGAUUGCUUAGGUGCUUGUAAAGCACUUAGCAAGCAAAUCAAUGAGUUAUGUGAAACAGGCUGAGCUGCUACAAAAAAUGUGUACUCUAACUUAUAUACUCAGGUAAACUUUUGGAGAUCUCUGUGAUGCAUUGGUCAUUAAUAGUUAAUGUAUCACGUAUUAAAUAUUUCAUUCUGUAUAGUUCUUUAAUGGAAAAGUGAUGGAUUGUGUUGUCUACAAGAAUCCAUUUAUAAAGAUCUGGUCGAUUUCUCCUUUUGAAAAAUAUUUAUAUCCAAUUUGCAGGAGGUAAAAUGUAUUAUGAAGAGAUUGGUUGUGCAGAUGUGUUGCCUUCUAAACUAAAGAAAGACAGGUCAGUAUCAGCAAGCAGUAUUUGUACAGCAAAAGGGCAGUCGUGAAACUAGUGAAACUACCACCUCCAUCUUCAUCAUCUCCAUGAUCACUCUGAGUUUGAGCCACUGCUUCUACCUCUCAUGGCUGAUGAAGCAGUGAUUACAUGAGGACUUGCAUUAGCAUAGGCUGUAGUGCAAGGAAGAUUCAGAAACUACACAGUGUCCUUGUUCGUGCUGAGCAGUGCAGCCACAUCUCCGCACCUUUGGGACUUAAAGCCUCUGCUACUAUAGUGCUUGUGUCCUUAAGACUGGAGCCACUGAAGCAGACCAAGACAGAAGACAGGAGAGAAGAAACACUAUUAGAAAGUAGUGUUGUGCAAUCAUUCUCCUUUUUUUUUUUUGUGUAGUGAUGUCACUUGAAAACUGUGUCACAGUCUCUCCUGUUUUUGUCAUCUCAUGUGGCCACCACCUCCCUUUGUCCCAUGCACAAAUCCUGGUAUGUAUUAAAAGCGCUCUCUCUUAGUUUGUUUCUCAAGCCUCCCACUAUGUGACAGACCAUGAACACUUUCCUUUUCCUCUUCCAGUAGUUUAUGCUCUAAAUCCAGCAGAGAGCUUUCUUAGGUCUUUAAUAGCAAGCUUAAGGUUAAGCAUUUGUUUAAGCACGCUGCUAAACUGUGUUCUGCUGAAUCUCAGCCAAAAGAAAACAGAUGGGCUAAUUUACCCUGAUGUUCUUCUGUGAGCCUUCAGGAGAGCUGUAAGAGCAGCAGCAUUGAAAGGUGUGCUCCAGAGCAAGUGAGAAGCAUAGCUAAGCAAUUCCAGGCCAGGAGGUGGCUUUGAUUUCCCUAGCAGGCUACAGAUUUGGGGAUCAUACUUGCCCUUGUUACUGCUCCCGUUCCAAGGAAGAAUGCCACCCUCUGUGCAAGGAAGUGCCAUCCAACCUGUGAGGCUCCCUUUUAUCUACAAGGUCAAGGAACAGCAGUCUUUGCUGUUUGUCACCAAGAAACAGCUGUGGCUGGACUGCACUCAGUGAGUAGGACUUUUCUUUCUGAUGCAUCAUCCCAUCUCUGCUGUAGCAUGUUUGAAAUAGAAUUGUGCUCCUCUUCCAACAGCACUUCUGAUGAUUUGGAAGGAGCGCAAACUGUUGAUGUAUCCUUAAAAGCUGUUCCCUUUUACUAGUGAGUAGCUUGUAUAAUUUGCCAUGCUUUGGGAUUGAAAGAUUUCUGAGAUUGAUGUUAGCCCAUUAGAACUUGGUUUAAAAUAUUGACCAGUGUCCAUCACUGAAGAAACAACGUGAUAAGUUUAAGCCUUUGAAAUACAUCACAUACUUGAAGUAUUAAAUAGUUGGCUAUGUAACAUAUUAGUGGGGGAAAAAAUAUUCUUGUUAGCUUAGGAGCAGAGAUUUGUGGAGCUAUGUUUUUAAAGGAAAUAAAUAACGUUGCUC
ensembl:lncRNA